CAUAUCGGAACGUGCCCUGGAGUGGGGGAUAACUAGUCGAAAGACUAGCUAAUACCGCAUACGAUCUACGGAUGAAAGUGGGGGAUCGCAAGACCUCAUGCUCGUGGAGCGGCCGAUAUCUGAUUAGCUAGUUGGUGGGGUAAAGGCCUACCAAGGCAUCGAUCAGUAGCUGGUCUGAGAGGACGACCAGCCACACUGGGACUGAGACACGGCCCAGACUCCUACGGGAGGCAGCAGUGGGGAAUUUUGGACAAUGGGCGCAAGCCUGAUCCAGCAAUGCCGCGUGAGUGAAGAAGGCCUUCGGGUUGUAAAGCUCUUUUGUCAGGGAAGAAACGGGCCGGGCUAAUACCCUGGUCUAAUGACGGUACCUGAAGAAUAAGCACCGGCUAACUACGUGCCAGCAGCCGCGGUAAUACGUAGGGUGCAAGCGUUAAUCGGAAUUACUGGGCGUAAAGCGUGCGCAGGCGGUUGUGCAAGACCGAUGUGAAAUCCCCGGGCUUAACCUGGGAAUGGCAUUGGUGACUGUACGGCUAGAGUGUGUCAGAGGGGGGUAGAAUUCCACGUGUAGCAGUGAAAUG
rnacentral:rRNA from 1 species